AUUCUUUUCCAGUUCAUAAGCGUGAUAAAUGGGUCUUCAUGUGGCAUGUGCCUCGCUCUAAACCUUGUUACAAGGUGGGCACAUUACCCAUCUGACA
rnacentral:snoRNA from 1 species